rnacentral:lncRNA from 1 species
AAUCCCACUGAUUUGCUCUUUUACAGACAUGCUGUCACCCAGGCUGGAGUGCAGUAGUGCCAUCACUGCUAAGUGCAGCCUCAAACUCCUGGACUCAAGCAAUCCUCCUGCCUCAACCUCCCCAAUGGCUGGGACUGUAGGCAUGCCACCAUGCCCAGCUAAUUUUAAAAUUUUUAUUUUGUAUGGAUGGUGUCUCACUAUGUUGCCCAGGUUGGUCUUGAACUCCUAGUGUCAGAGGCAUUUGAACCAGAGCAACUCAAUCUUGAAUAGGGGCUGGGUAAAAUAACUGAGACCUCCUGGGCUGCGUUCCCAGGUUAGGCAUUCUUAGUCACAGGAUGAGAUAGGAGGCCGGCACAAGAUACAGGUCACAAAGACCUUGCUGAUAAAACAGGAUGUGGUAAAGAAGCCGGCCAAAACCCACCAAAACCAAAAUGAUGAUGAAAGUGACCUCUUGUUGACCUCACUGCUCAUGAUAUGCUAAUUAGAAUGCAUUAGCAUGCUAAAAGACACUCCCACCAGCUCCAUGACAGUUUACAAAUGCCGUGGCAAUGUUCUGAAGUUAUCCUUUAUGGUCUAAAACGGGAAGGAACGCUCAAUUCCUGGAAAUCCCCAUCCCUUUCCCAGAAAACUCAUGAAUAAUCCACCCCUUGUUUAGCGUAUAGUCAAGAAAUAACUAUAAGUACAUUCAGGUGGGCAGCACAUACCAUUGCUCUGCCUAUGGAGUAG